GACGAACGCUGGCGGCGCGCCUAACACAUGCAAGUCGAACGGAGCUUAGAGAGCUUGCUUUUUAAGCUUAGUGGCGAACGGGUGAGUAACGCGUGAGUAACCUGCCCUAGAGUGGGGGACAACAGUUGGAAACGACUGCUAAUACCGCAUAAGCCCACGGUACCGCAUGGCACUGAGGGAAAAGGAUUUAUUCGCUUUAGGAUGGACUCGCGUCCAAUUAGCUAGUUGGUGAGGUAACGGCCCACCAAGGCGACGAUUGGUAGCCGGACUGAGAGGUUGAACGGCUACAUUGGGACUGAGACACGGCCCAGACUCCUACGGGAGGCAGCAGUGGGGGAUAUUGCACAAUGGGGGAAACCCUGAUGCAGCGACGCCGCGUGGAGGAAGAAGGUUUUCGGAUUGUAAACUCCUGUCGUUAGGGACGAUAAUGACGGUACCUAACAAGGAAGUGACGGCUAACU
rnacentral:rRNA from 1 species